rnacentral:rRNA from 1 species
AAAUGAAUUGACGGGGACCCGCACAAGCGGUGGAGCAUGUGGUUUAAUUCGAAGCAACGCGAAGAACCUUACCUGGUCUUGACAUCCUUCCGACCGGACCUUAACCGGUCCUUUCCUUCGGGACGGGAGAGACAGGUGGUGCAUGGUUGUCGUCAGCUCGUGUCGUGAGAUGUUGGGUUAAGUCCCGCAACGAGCGCAACCCUUAUCUUUAGUAGCCAGCAUUUAAGAUGGGCACUCUAGAGAGACUGCCAGGGAUAACCUGGAGGAAGGUGGGGAUGACGUCAAAUCAUCAUGCCCCUUAUGGCCAGGGCUACACACGUGCUACAAUGGUGGUAACAGAGUGAAGCAAACCCGCGAGGGGGAGCAAAUCACAAAAAUGCCAUCUCAGUUCGGAUUGUAGUCUGCAACUCGACUACAUGAAGCUGGAAUCGCUAGUAAUCGCGAAUCAGAAUGUCGCGGUGAAUACGUUCCCGGGUCUUGUACACACCGCCCGU